rnacentral:misc_RNA from 1 species
ACUAAAGUCCUGCUCAGGAUCUGGAGCACAGUACCUACCAUGGUUUAUGCACUGGGAUUUGCAUUGUUUGCUCAGAAUGAAUGCUUCCGGACAAUACCAUGUUAUAUAGUGUGGGGUGAAUUGAGUGUAACCCUUCUGUUCAAGUAUCUGAGCUGCACCUUUGAAAUUCCUGACAAACUCCAUCUGGCUGUCACACUUUGGCCCACACUCAUCAUUGCUAUUUGUCCAGAACUCAUAUUCAACACGCUCAUCAGGAUGUGGAAGAGCUUCCGUCCAAUCAAGAUUUAUGUUAACCAUCUCCCCACCGGACAGAGCCUUCUUGAUACUGUCUCCCAAGGACUUGCUGAUUAGAGCAGACGGAAUGUUUAUCUUUUGCAGAUAAUCAGCAUCUGCAUU